AGAGCAAAGAAAAAUUUGGUUUUCAUUGACAUUCUUGCAGAAGCAAAUGGUACAAAAUAUAUUAGAGGUGGUGCAAAUUCACUAUUUUCCAUGGAGCAUUCAACUUUGUAUCCUUCGCAGAGAAGGGCUACAUAGAUGAAAUGAAAAUUAACUACACCUACAUAGAGGCAAAAAUCAGACUGUCCAAAGACUCAAAAGUAAAAUUGUCAGAUUGAAAUCCUUGUUGGAAAAGGCAUAUAUCUCUGGCGGAGCACAAUCAACCAUACUGAGAAAAACUUUUGAGCACCAUAUAAUUUAUCUGAACAGCUGAAAGACUUGGAUGAACGAGAAGGCCUUUUUAGAUAAUCAGUUAGAUAUUUUAGUACAUUGUUUUUCUUCGCAUCAUUACUAUUGUUAAGAGAUGUUAUUUAUUUGAGGAAUUAUAUUGGAUAUUUGAGUUAUGAGUGUACGUAUUC